UUUAUGGAGAGUUUGAUCCUGGCUCAGGAUGAACGCUGGCGGCGUGCCUAAUACAUGCAAGUCGAGCGAACAGACGAGGAGCUUGCUCCUCUAACG
rnacentral:rRNA from 1 species